UGAGGAAUAUUGGUCAAUGGGCGCAAGCCUGAACCAGCCAAGUCGCGUGAAGGAAGACGGCCCUAUGGGUUGUAAACUUCUUUAGGGUGGGAACAAAGGACGCCACGCGUGGCGAGAUGAGUGUACCACCAGAAUAAGCAUCGGCUAACUCCGUGCCAGCAGCCGCGGUAAUACGGAGGAUGCGAGCGUUAUCCGGAUUUAUUGGGUUUAAAGGGUGCGCAGGCGGCGCGCCAAGUCAGCGGUCAAAGUUCCGGGCUCAACCCGGUGUCGCCGUUGAAACUGGCGUGCUCGAGUGCGUGCGAGGAAGGCGGAAUGCGUUGUGUAGCGGUGAAAUGCAUAGAUAUGACGCAGAACUCCGAUUGCGAAGGCAGCU
rnacentral:rRNA from 1 species